ensembl:snoRNA SNORA75 Small nucleolar RNA SNORA75
ACCUUCUCAUGAGCUCCUCUUAAUCUUACCCAUGAUUCUGCAUGGAUUCGCACGAGAAGCAGAGCCCCGUGCACAGUUAGAACAGGCUCACCCUACACUCAUAUGGGUGUUGCCUAUGUCUGCUGUGCAACAGUA